AGAUUGAACGCUGGCGGCGUGCCUAACACAUGCAAGUCGAGCGGUAACAGGUGUAGCAAUACAUACUGACGAGCGGCGAACGGGUGAGUAAUGCUUUGGAAUCUUCCCAGUAGUGGGGAAUAACCAGUCGAAAGAUUGGCUAAUACCGCAUACGUCUGUAAAGGGAAAGCGGGGGCUCGUAAGACCUCGCGCUAUUGGAUGAGCCAAAGUCGGAUUAGCUAGUUGGUGGGGUAAUGGCCUACCAAGGCGACAAUCCGUAGCUGGUCUGAGAGGACGACCAGCCACACCGGAACUGAGACACGGUCCGGACUCCUACGGGAGGCAGCAGUGGGGAAUAUUGGACAAUGGGGGAAACCCUGAUCCAGCGACGCCGCGUGUGUGAAGAAGGCCUGCGGGUUGUAAAGCACUUUUAGUGGGGACAAAAGCUACGGAUUAAUACUCUGUGGUCUUGAUUUAACCCAAAGAAAACGCACCGGCUAACUCUGCGCCAGCAGCCGC
rnacentral:rRNA from 1 species